GAGUCUGGUAAUAGCUUGUGCAAAUAUUUAAUUUAAUGCUUGUAGAUCAGUUAGUAUUUGCUUAAUUGCAACAUAAGUGCAAAAUGAUCAUUGCUAGAUAUCGUCUCUUUGAUUGGUUUGAAAGCAUCUGUAUAUACCCUAAAAGGGCGUCCAGUUACAUGUAAUUCAAAUUUGUAUAGGUCGGGUUGUGCAAUCUUUUGCUACUAAAAAAAUCAAGUAAAGUGACAUUAUUCAAGAGUUCUUAGUUGUUUGAUAAUUAUUAUUCAUAAUGUCUAUCACUUUAUUUAUGAUAUAAGGUACAAAUUCUUCAUGAAAUAUAACUAAGCACACAGUUUCUUAUACGAAAUAUUUUUUUUCCUAUAAAACUAAUUUUCCUUACUUAAGAAAGGGGUAACUUUACCAUAUACAGUGUGAAACACAACAUAGAAAAGUGUUGAUGCUUUCUCAAUCCCUCACAAAAAUUAAUGUGGAGGAUCAACCUUUCUCUUAUGAUUAUCUCAAGUCCUUGUUUCUCAGGUUAAAGCUAAUGAAAACUCUAGUUUGGUAACUUAUCACGAUACGAUGAGUAUGUUCCUAUGGUUGACAAAGUUGUUGAUUCUGGAUGGAAAAAGCAGACUUCACUUUCAAAACCUUAUAUUUUUAAAGGUUAGUUGCUUUAGAAGUUCCACUUUUGCAGUUGUCUCCAUACAUAAUAUUUGAAUCAGCCUACGAUCUUCUCAUGUUCAUUUAUUCAUCUAAUACUUGCUUCGAAGACGUAGGGGAUAUCAUUUUCUUCGGUUGAACCCAUCUUUCUGUCAUUGCAAACGUCGCCUUAGGUGCUCAUUUUUAUUCUUAUAACUCUAAUCAUAUGUUGAUCAUGUUUAGAGGUUAUCUAUGAUUAACUUAUGAUUGUUCUUUUGUUAAUAGCUAUGCCUUAAUAACCUUUUGUUAUAUCCUGGUAUUAAAUUACUGCUAUAUUGGAGAUAUGCGAUUAGCUAUGUCUAAAUAAAAUUACAAUUACACUAGAUUAGUAACUAUUUUUUGAUUGCAUAGUAUAUGAUUUUUCCCCUCUUUGAUUUUUAUAUCUCUAGGUAUAAGAUAAGAGAGAAGGAAAAAAUUGUUCAGGCAUAUUCUUCUUAAAAUCUUGAAGAAAAUUUUGUAAGUUUAUUUGUAUUACUUUGAUCCUAUAUCAAUUAUUUAUUGAAAUUAUUCUCAAAAUAAAUGCUCUCAUUAUUUUACUGGAUCCAUUUUAUGUGACUGUAAUAAUUUUCAUAUUCUAAAUGUGUUGGCUACCAAAUAUCCUGAUUAGGAUUGAGGUAAGAUUGGUAUUAUUAAAGAAUAUAUGUACCAUAAUUAAUUUUAUUAAUUUCAUUUCAGUUUCUUAGACUUUAUGGCUCUCUUUUCUCCCAUAGGCCCCAUCUGCUUUAUUGCUCGGGUUGCUCCCAUGAAGACAUUUUGGAAUUUUUUUUUUUUUGAUCAGAUUGAUUCAUUAAUGAUAAUUUAGUGAAUUUUCAUCUUCAUUAUAUGAACCAUCUAGAAGAAACAAGCUAUCCAAAUUUAAAGCUCAAAUAAUAGAAGUGAAAGGGAAAAUGAUGGACAAUAUUAAGAAAGUACAACAAAAGGCAUCAAAGCCCAAGCAUGAGAAGCCGAUACAGGAGUCAUGAAAGAGGCCUUCCUACAAGCCUUUUGGUCCGCAAACUUGGGCGUGAUUGCAAGUCCAUUUUAAUGUUUCUUAAAUGAAAAUUCAAUUGCCAUUAUUUCUUGUAGUUGUUCAACCUGCUUCAAGCUACUUUCUUGUUAUUGAAAUUAGUUUAAAAGCAUUGAUAUCUUCUUCCCAAUUUUUGAUUUCACUAUCACGCCUUGAAGAUAUAUCUUCCAUAGUAUAAACAUUUUUGUUUACAAAAUGUGUUUCUAAAUACUAAAGAUUAGUAAGUGCCUAAAAUUUAGGUGAAAAUUUAUUAAACUUUUAGAAUAGUUUCAAUAAUAUUUGACACGCUAACAUUACCUUAAAAAUAAUGCGGCCCAUGCAAUGCACGGGCAUAAGACUAGUAAAACAGGAAAGUUUCGAUUCCCUCUUAAUUUUCUUUGGCCUCCCACCAAAACAAGUUCCCUAAUUUUGGAGAGCUCUUCCUCUUCCUCUUCCUCAACCAAAACCCUUCUCUCUCACAAAUUGCAAAAUCAUUCUAUCACCCUCUCCAAAUAUCCAACCGUCGCUUAUCUCAAUAUCACUAGCGGUUCAUAAAUUUGUCUCGUUUUCUUUCUCGUCGUACAUAUUCUUGGUGAAGCUUUUUCCCCAUAUCUUCCCCUUGUUUUUCCCUUUUCUUUUCCUCUCUUUUCUUCCACAAUUACUAUUUAUAGCUAGCUAUGUCAUGGGCUUUUUUUAUUGUGUUUGAUUUCGUUUUCUAUUUUGGGUUUUUUGGAUUCUUGAUUUCUCUAUUUGUGCAUAUCUACAUGGGUUUGUGAAAUAAGGAAAUAGAAAUUUUAAUUGUUGAUAAUGGAAGUGAUAGAGUGGCAUUCGAAGGUAGCAGUAAGUGAAAGGUAGAUUUUUUCCCAGGCAUCUUACGUGUGUACUAUUUCCUUAUUCUUUAUUUAUUUCUUAAGUUCAUGACAUUCUUUCUUCGUUCUGCAUCGUUGGAAUUUGUAGGAUCAUUAGAGCUUUCUUGGUGGAAGAGCAAAAGAUUGUGAAGAAGGUUUUGAAGAUUUAGAAGGCCAAGGAAAAGCUAUCUGCUAAGAGCUGAAGAAUCAGUCAUAUGCCAAUAUAGUUAUGAAUACUAUUAAUCAAGGAUGAUUGGAAUUGUAUUAUGAGGCUUCCAUGCUUAAAUUAUGUUUGUUUCUUAGAUUUUGUCAAAUGACUGCGUUCUUCUGUUUGUUGAAAAUUCUCAUAUUUGAUUUUGGUUUCCCUGCCUUUUCAUAACAUCUUAAACUUCAUUUGGAUUUACUCGUGUAAUCCUUGAUUUUUUUUCCUUAACUGAGUUUGAGUUAUCAUUAAUUAGCUACUUCUUCUGGUGAGUUUCAAUGG
rnacentral:lncRNA from 1 species